GCCGCCGCUAGUCGCGACUCGCGCCGCGCUCCCAUCGCGCGUGUCCGCCGCCACGCAUGCCACAAACCUUACACGACACCGACACUAUACAUCAACCGCUAAUGCGAUUUGUUUACAAUAUCCCCAUCACGUGGUCACCCCAAUGAUGGCGGAGCGGGCGGACACCUGACUGCCGCACACCACACUCCAGACACCAACGCUCCAGGAGCGGACGACUGAGCCCGGUGGCCUUGCGUAGUAUAAGCAGCUGCGUGCGAUGUUUGCCAACGUGCUCGGGUAACCGUGGUAACCGUGGUAACCGUGGCGGGCUACCGGCACGCGGUGUACGGCGGCGCGGCGUACCACGCGCGCGCGCCCGCCGUACCGCUCAACGCCAAUGGCGAACCUAUUAAAUUACCAGAAAACCUGGAGAGUCUACCGCGCGCAGAACACUUCGCGGCGCAGAGGCACCGGUGGAACACCAAUGAGGUGAGUCCAAUUCAAUAGUAAUGUCUCAGCAGUAUAUUGAACCGAAGUGCUUUUAGACUGGUCUCUACAGUUUUAAAGAUAGAUACCAACAGGUAACCUAAUUCUUAUUACGAGUCCUACUGGACCCGCAAAAAUAAUUUUAAGAUGCCCACUGACCCCUUAUGUAGGGGUUUGAUUUAAAUUUUAACAUUACAUACAUGGUUAGGUUU
rnacentral:lncRNA from 1 species